UGCAGACGACCAAAGUAGCCAUGCCUUCCCUCUGCAUAUUCCUUGGGCUGCUUCUCUUCUCCUUGCAGUCUCCUCCAUGUUCUGCUGCAACAGAUACUCUUAAGGCAGGCCAAGUGCUCGCCGCCGGCGACAAGCUCGUCUCAAGAAAUGGCAAGUUCGCACUCGGCUUCUUCAAGCCAAGCGCAAACAUCAGCAAGUCAUCCGACAACAUCUCCUCGAGCUGGUACGUUGGCAUAUGGUUCGACAAGAUCCCAGUUUUUACUGUUGUGUGGGUUGCUAAUAGGGAGACCCCAGUCACUGAACCCCAGCUCAAAGUAACACAGCUCAAAAUAUCACAAGAUGGAAAUCUUGCCAUCGUAGACCAUGCCACUGAAUCCAUAAUAUGGUCCACUCAUAUUGUGAUCAAUAGGACAGAGACCAGCAUGAACACCAGUACUGCUGUUCUCCAUGAUAGCGGAAAUCUUGUCAUAGAAAGCCCCUCUAAUGUACCACUGUGGCAAAGCUUUGAUGACCCAACAGAUGUAGCGCUUCCAAACGCCAAGAUUGGGUGGAACAAGGUGACAGGUCUAAAUCGUGUUGGCGUUUCAAAGAAGAGCAUGAUUGAUAUGAGUAACAAAUUCAAGUGGUGCGCUGCGCCAUUACACGACGCUGAAGACAGCAGUGGAAUCAAGGCCUUUAGAUACACUGAUCUAGUUCAUGCCACUAAAAAUUUCUCAGAAAAGCUAGGGGCAGGUGGUUUUGGCUCUGUUUUCAAGGGAACCUUAAGUGAUCUAACUGCAAUCGCGGUCAAAAGACUUGAUGGUGACCGUCAAGGAGAGAAGCAAUUCCGUGCCGAGGUGAGCUCAAUCGGGUUGAUCCAACAUAUCAACCUAGUGAAAUUGAUUGGUUUCUGCUGCCAAGGUGAUAAGAGGCUACUUGUGUAUGAACACAUGCUAAAUGGUUCUCUUGAUGCCCAUCUCUUUCAUAGCAAUGCUAGUGUACUCAAGUGGAGCACUAGAUAUCAAAUUGCCAUAGGAGUUGCUCGAGGAUUGGCAUAAUUGCAUCAGAAUUGCCUCGAGUGCAUCAUACACUGCGACAUUAAGCCACAAAAUAUACUUCUCGAUGCAUCAUUUGCUCCAAAAAUUGCAGACUUUGGGAUGGCAGCAUUUGUCGGAAGGGAUUUUAGCCGAAUUACUACAUUUAGAGGAACCGUAGGGUAUCUUGCCCCAGAGUGGAUUAGUGGAGUUGCUAUUACACCAAAAGUUGAUGUGUAUAGCUUUGGUAUGGUAUUACUGGAAAUUAUAUCAGGGCGGAGGAAUAUGCCUGAAGAAUCUGCAAGUGGUAAUUAUCAUGUUUCAUUUUUCCCUAUGCAAGCCAUCAACAAGCUACAUGAGGGAGAUGUGCAGAGUUUGGUGGAUCCAAGGUUACAUGAUGACUUCAGUUUGGAAGAGGCCGAAAGGAUUUUGAAGGUUGCAUGCUGGUGCAUCCAAGAUGAUGACCUUGAUCGACCAACAAUGGUUGAAGUGGUUCGGGUUCUUGAGGGUCUACAGGAGCUUGAAAUUCCCCCAAUGCCAAGACUACUAGCAGCUUUAACAGGAUGACGCUCUGAUGUAGCUAAAAUAUUAUAAAGAAUAAAUGAUUUGCAUCGAUCCAUUAUAUUUUGGAAAAUUCUAAAAUACUACUGUGUAGUGGAAGAAAAUAAUAGAGGAAGUUGUGUCAUAUUGAUACAAAUUAGGUGUAAGAUUGAUUUGUUUUGUAGCUAAACAGCAUGACAUAUCAUAUGUUAUAUGUAAUUUGCAGUUGACAUAUCAUAUGUUAUAUGUAAUUUGCAGUUUUGAUAUUGAAUCGUCAAACGGAUAGAAAUUGUUGA